rnacentral:tRNA from 3 species
GGGAUAUUAGCUCAGUUGGUAGAGCACUUGACUUUUAAUCAAGUUGUCCGGGGUUCGAACCCCCGAUGUCUCA